rnacentral:rRNA from 1 species
UACAGAGGUCUCAAGCGUUGUUCGGAUUCAUUGGGCGUAAAGGGUGCGUAGGCGGCGCGGUAAGUCGGGUGUGAAAUCUCGGAGCUUAACUCCGAAACUGCAUUCGAUACUACCGUGCUUGAGGACUGGAGAGGAGACUGGAAUUUACGGUGUAGCGGUGAAAUGCGUAGAUAUCGUAAGGAAGACCAGUGGCGAAGGCGGGUCUCUGGACAGUUCCUGACGCUGAGGCACGAAGGCCCAGGGGGAGCAAACAGG